rnacentral:lncRNA from 1 species
AAAGAAAAGAGCAGAAAAAAGAAGAAGAAAGAAAAACACUUGAGCACUAAUCUUCUUUACAAUCUACCCAAAUUUAUCUCCGCUUAACCCCAUAUCACAAAAAUCUCCGGGAUAAUCUCAUUCCCUUUCUAUAAUUGCCUGCAGUAGAGUUCUUACAUUUGGGGAAUACAAACACAAAACACAAAACAUACCCAACAACAAGAAGGAGAGAUAGAGAGGUGUAGACAAAUUGCCCUUUGAGGGUUUGGCUUGCUUUCCUUUUUUUUUUUUGGCUCUAAGUUUCUACCACUUAGAUUACAUAUCUGAUUUCUGUCCGACCCUUUUUUCUUCACCCUCUUUAUCUCCUCCAAUCCAUACCUCUUAAUACAUACAUAACUACAUCAUCAUCAUAGUGUAUAAAUUUUUGUGUCUUGGAUAGUAUUAGAGCUAAAAACUGAAGCUUUGUUUGAAUGCAAAUUCUCUUAAUUUGGGUAAUACCUUUAAUGCCUAGUAUGGAAGUAAAAGGGUUUAUUACCGUAACACCCACAAAGCCAAAUCAGUAAGGUUUGUGAAAAACCUUAUAACUUUGCCCAUUAUCUUGCAUUUAAGAUUGGAGAUUUGGUUAUAUCUGGGUUUUGAUCUUUUUGGUAAUAGCUGAAUCUUGAAUUGUGCUGUGGUGUAAAUAUAUGUUGUUGGUUUGGUUUCUGCUUAGGGCAUAUUGAGGUUAACAAAGGGACAUCCUUUGCUGGUUUUGGGAUUUUAAAGGGUCUCAUAAUUCUUGGCUUUUUUGGAGUUUUGCCAAUCUUACUGUAUUUGAGCACCUGAGUAGUUGCUGGUGAAGCUACCACGUCUGGUUUUCCUAGGGUUUAUUGUGUGAAAAGCACUUGUUCAUCACUCACUUGUCGGUUUCUUAUGAUUAUUUGUUUCUCAGCAAGUGUUUGAAAGUUGCCCUUGUCUGCUUUUAUCAGUGGUGUAAGAACUCUGGUUUUGUGAAGUAAUUUGUGUG